ACGUGGAUGCUGAAGGUCAGAGG
rnacentral:miRNA from 1 species